rnacentral:lncRNA from 1 species
AAAAAAAAAAAAAGUAAGUGAAACUUAUUUUUGGUCGUGAUUUUUUUGCAUUAAAUGAGCUGUACGUCAACAGAAAAAGUUAUCUUACCCAACUACACCAUGUUUGUCAAACACCCUUUAAUUUUUUAGAAUAUAAUUUUAUACUUUAAAGUUUAAACAUCAUGGAUACAUGUUUUUAUAAUUUUCAAAAUAUAAUUUUAUAUUUUAAAGUUCAAACAUGGAUUCAUGUUUUUAGCAAUGUGACGUAGGGUAUUUAAAAAAAAAAAAUUAAUUAAAAUACUAUUUUUUUUUUAAAUUUUAACAUGAAUACCGAAAGUAAUUUAAAAAACAGAACCAAGAUAAAUGGGACGCCGCCUGCUUCUGUGCACCAAUCAGUCCUCUACUGAUGAGAGCAUAUAUAUCAAUUACUACCAAAUCGAGUUCAAAUCUUUUUUAUCCUACUUUGUCAAAUAAACCGGUGUUUCUGUCUUGUCUUCCACUGUUGGGUUCCUUUUCCAUCUCUAAUAAGCUCAUCGGUCACACUUAUUAAUUAAUUAGGUGUGGGGAGGGGGAAAAACACCCCUCAAAGGGGUGACCAGCUUUUUCAUAGACUGACUUUCGUGGUGCACAAAGACUUUAGGGCACGGAAAGAGACACGUCCAAAUAUACAGUGGAUACAUGAAUAUUUUGUAUUGUACAUAAGAGCGGUCACGAGGAUAACUCUUACACACUUAGAUCUGAGAGAAUAUCUACUUACUUACGAAACAAAACAUAUAAAACAACGAAACUGAUGUCUGCAACAGCAUGUUUCUGCACACACAUACGCUAACAACAAUCAAAAUCGAUGGCCUUAACGUCCAUAGUAUAAGAAAGAUAGGGUAUUUUUAUUUUUACCGAGAAAGAAAGACAAGGCAUUUUUACAUGCGAUUCAAGUACUCUUCACUCUUGACAGCUCUUACCUCCUCAGAGAUCUCUUAGCUCAAACAUGAUUCUUCCUCCAAGAGUUUACAUGUAAGAAAAUGUGAACCUCGCAUGGUAAAUAAGGCUCCUUCGAUCGCUUGCAUGACCUUUCAGAGGUUGUUGAUUUGUCUUUAAUUGGGUGAUUUUGAAGGAAUACGUAGUCUAAUUCAAAUAGCUCAGGAGGGAUAGAUAAGAAAAGAGAAGAUAAGUUGGAUGAAAAUGGGAAAAGAUUUUGUCAAAAAUCUAUAUCAUAAAGUUUUGAUAUAGAGUAAAUGACAAUUAAAAAAACAAAAAUGAAGAACGAAGAACAGGGUCUUACAAGGUCAAGAAAAGGUCUUACAAGGUCAAGAAGAAAAAAGAAAAAAUAAAUGAAGAAGAUAUAGCAAAGAAAAAGCUCAGGUAGGAUAGCACCCAAUUAACAUGAAAAGCCAUCUUUUCAGCUACCAGUUGAAAGCCAGCAAAGAAUCCAUCUGCAAAGUUCUUUUCCUGGCUUGUAGCGUAGCACGUGCUAGCUUUGUUCAUUCUCUCGAACAGGUUCCCUGUAUCGAGAAUCAUAUCAAAUACAAGAAACUUAAGGAAUAUAUCAGUUUUUGCACAUAAAAUCAAGACAGUGAACAAAUGAUAAGGUCACAUGCUCCUCCUCUAACUACAUACAUAAAAUUACAAAUUUAAGAGCAUAAAGUAUCUGAUCUUUCUAUCAAUUAUUAGGAAUACUACUGAGACAAGUUGAACAGGACAAGAUUUUAUACAAAUACUAUAUAUAUAGAUAGUGUUGACUUCGAAUAACACCAAAAACUAUGAGCUCUUGACAUUCCAUAUAUAUUUCUUACGACUCCAUAAAGGUUUCCAUACCUUGCAGAAACUUGUGCCUUUCUUUCACCUUUGAAAGCCCCUUUUCUCUUUCCCCCAUGUUGGGGGAGAGAGAGACACAGAGAGAGAGAGAGAGGGCAACGGAGAGUGUAGUGGUAGUUGCAAUAUUACAACGAAAAAUGAGGAGUGGCAACAGGUAUAUAUGAAGGGGACGAGGCCAGUUG